rnacentral:rRNA from 1 species
CCUACGGGUGGCAGCAGUGGGGAAUAUUGCACAAUGGGGGGAACCUUGAUGCAGCAACGCCGCGUGGGUGAAGAAGUACUCCGGUAUGUAAAGCCCUGUCAGCAGGGAAGAAAAUGACGGUACCUGAGUAAGAAGCCCCGGCUAACUACGUGCCAGCAGCCGCGGUAAUACGUAGGGGGCAAGCGUUAUCCGGAUUUAGUGGGUGUAAAGGGAGCGUAGACGGCAGUGCAAGUCUGGAGUGAAAGGCGGGGGCUCAACCCCCGGACUGCUCUGGAAACUGUACGGCUGGAGUGCAGGAGAGGUAAGUGGAAUUCCUAGUGUAGCGGUGAAAUGCGUAGAUAUUAGGAGGAACACCAGUGGCGAAGGCGGCUUACUGGACUGUAACUGACGUUGAGGCUCGAAAGCGUGGGGAGCAAACAGGAUUAGAUACCCCUGUAGUC